rnacentral:lncRNA from 1 species
UUUGUAACUGUAUAGAGAUGAUGUAUUAGAUGAUGAUAUACUCAGGAAUGUAUGCAUAGUUUUUCAUUCCCUAUAUCAUAUUGCCAUCCAUUAUCUGUUAUGCAUGUAUCAUGUUAUGCAUAUGUAUGUAUGUCCAGAGAUAUUCAGCAUUGACCCCUGGAUGGUAUUAUGACACGGCCCGUACAGAUGUCUUCUUCGACAGUUAGCCGUAUUGAUCAUACCCCACCAUCA